rnacentral:rRNA from 1 species
UACGGAGGGUGCAAGCGUUAUCCGGAUUCACUGGGGUUAAAGGGUGCGUAGGUGGGUUUGUAAGUCAGUGGUGAAAUCUCCAGGCUUAACCUGGAAACUGCCAUUGAUACUAUAGAUCUUGAAUUUUCUGGAGGUAAGCGGAAUAUGUCAUGUAGCGGUGAAAUGCUUAGAUAUGACAUAGAACACCAAUUGCGAAGGCAGCUUGCUACAGGAAUAUUGACACUGAGGCACGAAAGCGUGGGGAUCAAACAGG